AACGCGCAGCGAGAGGUGCUUGCACCUUUCAGCGAGUGGCGAACGGGUGAGUAACACGUGGAUAACCUGCCUCAAGGCUGGGGAUAACAUUUGGAAACAGGUGCUAAUACCGAAUAAAACUUAGUAUCGCAUGAUACAAAGUUAAAAGGCGCUACGGCGUCACCUAGAGAUGGAUCCGCGGUGCAUUAGUUAGUUGGUGGGGUAAAGGCUUACCAAGACAAUGAUGCAUAGCCGAGUUGAGAGACUGAUCGGCCACAUUGGGACUGAGACACGGCCCAAACUCCUACGGGAGGCUGCAGUAGGGAAUCUUCCACAAUGGGCGCAAGCCUGAUGGAGCAACGCCGCGUGUGUGAUGAAGGCUUUCGGGUCGUAAAGCACUGUUGUAUGGGAAGAAAUGCUAAAAUAGGGAAUGAUUUUAGUUUGACGGUACCAUACCAGAAAGGGACGGCUAAAUACGUGCCAGCAGCCGCGGUAAUACGUAUGUCCCGAGCGUUAUCCGGAUUUAUUGGGCGUAAAGCGAGCGCAGACGGUUGAUUAAGUCUGAUGUGAAAGCCCGGAGCUCAACUCCGGAAUGGCAUUGGAAACUGGUUAACUUGAGUGUUGUAGAGGUAAGUGGAACUCCAUGUGUAGCGGUGGAAUGCGUAGAUAUAUGGAAGAACACCAGUGGCGAAGGCGGCUUACUGGACAACAACUGACGUUGAGGCUCGAAAGUGUGGGUAGCAAACAGGAUUAGAUACCCUGGUAGUCCACACCGUAAACGAUGAAUACUAGGUGUUAGGAGGUUUCCGCCUCUUAGUGCCGA
rnacentral:rRNA from 1 species